CAACAUUCCAUCAAUCUGCAUUAGGAUCUACCUUAGAGACACUCACUGGAGCUGUAAAUGGAAGCAGGUCACUUACUUUGCAUUCGUCCUUGGUGGUCACCCCAGGGUCUCUAGAGUGAAAAUUACUCAAUCUAUGGAUUAAACAGAAAAUUUAGUUUUAUGAAGUGCAAUUUGGGACAUUCUUCCAGUUGUCGGCAACUUUGUGAAAAAGGCUGGAAACUAAAAUGCAGAAUUCUGGCCUGGUGUUUGGUCUGUGCUGUCUUUGACUCUUGCAUCUCCAUCAUCCUGACCCUCUUUAGCAGCCUGUCCAUGUAUUUAUUCGGAGGCCACCAUGAGCACCCAUCUGCAUAAUAUGACUUUGUUACUCAGUUGUCCAUGCUCCUACAAAUUCUACAUUUUUUGUAAAGCUGCAACAAGUUGAAACCCUAUAAUUAUUAACGUUUGAUUUUGAAUUAUGUAAUUCAAAUACAUGAAUAAGUAACAAAAGCAGAAAUCUAUUAAGACAUUACCUUUUUGUUGUUUGUUUACUGAUCUAUCAAUCCUUUUGCAUUCUCAUAAUUGAUCAUCAUAACUUGGUAUACAGUGGAUGUGUGGCUGUAGAUAACUUUCUGAAGUCAAUUCAAAAAGGCAAAAGUUAAUAAAUGCUAAAUUGGUCAAAUAUACAUUGUUGUAUUUUCACCAUUUUGAUCUUAUUUAGGCAUUUCAUAACUUGAGAGGGAAAUUUACGUAUACUGAUUUUUCAAAUCAAAGAUUAAUUUAUUAAUGACAGCUAAUCAUUGUAUAAAGAUUUUUAUAACAAUAUUUAUUUAUAUAAUAUCAAUUUAAUACAUUUAUUUCGUUACACCUACAUCACUGAGCGCAAGGGAGUGCAGCCAACAAAUACAUUCAGGUGUGUUUGACUUAACACCGAGAUGCGCAGACAGCACGUGGUAUGACAUCAAAGUACCGCGAGAGUUUUGGGAAAGCCCCGGAAAAGGUUUGAACUCGCGGUACUUGAUGUCACGAUCGGUUUGCGCGUAGAUCAGCAUGAAGUCGAACACAUCUGAAAGAUGUGUGGGCUGCCUGCACUCAACGUUGCGUUCAUUCAGUAGAGUGUAACCUCAAUCGGUUUUUGCAGCUUCUGGGUGUCGUGUCGAACGAUCACAGAACGAUUUUUUUGUUCUUUUCCAACUCGAUUUUUAACUCCUUAAACUAGUAGGAUGUUCCAACGGGUGAAGCAACAGUGCUUCAGUGACGGAGUUUCAGUGUCAAGUUUUCAUGCCAUGACCACUGGGGCGGAAACCAUGACGUUGCCUUGGACUUCAAACUAAACCAUCUCAUUCUGGCUUUUUUCUAACCUCGAAAUCUCAGAAGGACAGGUCUAAUGGACGCAGCCUCCAUAGGAUGCAACCUUGCAUUUGAGAAACACCCCUAGAACGGUCAACUUACCCCAUACUCUAACCUGAAUGCAGGGAUCAUAAAACUUUAUCUUUUACCUUAAUUGUUAGAUGGGUGUUGAUACCAAACUUUUUUUUCUCGUCUACCCAGGAGAAAGUCAUGGGUUCUGCUGCUGAGGUUGUCAUAAAGCAUGCUUUUUUCCAUUUGUUGCAUUUGGCAAUAUUAUCAAAAGAUUCUGAAAGAAAUAAGAUAAUUUUCAAAGCAUUAACAUGAAUAUGAAAGUCAUUAAUGACCAUCUUUUAUUAUUGUUUAUUUACAGUGUCUUUUAUUCUGCUUACCUGACUCAUGCAGAAUUCUGGCUUGAUGUUUGGUCCACCUGUUAGCUGGCUCUGGUGCUUGGUAGUCUUCUCAAACCUCUGAAUCAAGACCACCAUGAGAGGCCUUCUGAAGACCAUCAUUACGCUGCAGAUCCAGUGGUCUUUACUAUGAGAUAGAACUGAACUGGAGUCUGUGAACUAAUGCUGUGUUCGAGACAACUUGGAUGUUUGAUAUUAUUGACCUCAAACCCAUAAGAAGUCUGGAACAGUAAACAAAGUUGAGUAUCCGACCUCUCAACUUGGGACAGAUCCAUCAACACCGACCUCAACGAGAUGCGUCAUUUGACAUUGCAGACAAGAUCCUUUCUCUUUUUUUAUGCAGCUCUUAAGGAUGAAGCACCCUGAUCUACUAAGAUGCACAGAUUCAACUCUGGCCCAGCAUCAUCCCCACACCUCAUCUGCCAUCAGUUUAAUUUAAUGUCUGUCAAUUGCAAAUGCUAUUUCAGUUAUAUUACAACUUAAUAUUAACUUUAAUUUAGACUAGUAUUGUGUAAAGCUGGGGUUUCCAAACUUUUCAUUUUAAAACCUAUAAGACAAGUAUAAUCUAUUCUAGACCCACUAAAAUAUUUUUAAAUAUACAUUUUUUUUAAUGGGGUAAAACACAUUUGUUCUCUUUCAGUGGAGUCAUUUUAUUUUCAUAAUAUUUCAUAAUGUGAAGAAGUGGUUCUUAACGUUAUUCCUCGAGGCCCACUGCUCUGCACAUUUUGUAUGUCUCUUUUAUCUGACAGACUAAGUUCAGUUCAUGGAGAUCCCUUCUAAUGAGCUGAUGAUUUGAAUCAGGUGUGUUAAAUAAGAGAGACAUACAAAAUGUGCAGGGCAGUGGGCCUCGAGGAAUAACGUUGAGAACCACUGAAAAGUAAAUAUAAGUUUAUUUGCAAUACCAAAUAUUUUAUGGUAUAUUCUUUCAAAACCAUUGUCAUUGUUAAUUAUUAAUUGGCCAAACUGUUGUUGCAUCAUUAAGGUGUGCAACACACCUUAACCUACUGUGUGACCGACAAGUGUGUCCUCCUGACCCACAGUUUAAAA